GUUCAGUGCUGCUGCUUUCGUAUCUGCAGGACACAUGAGUGAUGAUUCACAUAAAAUGGACUCGACCUCAUUUGCAAAGAAUUUGUUCAGAGGACAAGUAGAAGUGGAGCAUGUGUUUCCAUUUCCUAAUGUUUUAUCAGAGGAACAAACGGAGACACUAGAGGCACUUGUUGCCCCUGUUGAAAAGUUCUUUACGCUCGUGCUUUCCGACGACGUUGAUCAUUAGGGUGGUGCACUGCGGCCUCAAGGACUUCUGCUCGCACGGCAGCGCGCAGCAGC